rnacentral:rRNA from 1 species
AAGUCGUAACAAGGUUUCCGUAGGUGAACCUGCGGAAGGAUCAUUAAAGAAUCGCCCCGUUUUUUGAAAUGGGUUCUAUUCCCAAACCGUGUAUACAUACCUUUGUUGCUUUGGCAGGCCGCCUUUUAGGCGUCGGCUCCGGCUGACUGCGCCCGCCAGAGGACCCAAACUCGUUUGUUUAGUGAUGUCUGAGUACUAUAUAAUAGUUAAAACUUUCAACAACGGAUCUCUUGGUUCUGGCAUCGAUGAAGAACGCAGCGAAAUGCGAUAAGUAAUGUGAAUUGCAGAAUUCAGUGAAUCAUCGAAUCUUUGAACGCACAUUGCGCCCCUUGGUAUUCCGAGGGGCAUGCCUGUUCGAGCGUCAUUAUAACCACUCAAGCCUCGGCUUGGUCUUGGGGUUCGCGGUCUCGCGUCCCUUAAAAUCAGUGGCGGUGCCGUCUGGCUCUAAGCAUAGUAAUUCUCUCGCUAUAGGGUCCCGGCGGUUGCCUGCUAGAACCCCCCAUUUUUUACGGUUGACCUCGGAUCAGGUAGGGAUACCCGCUGAACUUAA